UACGGGGGGAGCAAGCGUUGUUCGGAUUUACUGGGCGUAAAGGGCGCGUAGGCGGUCACGACAAGUCAGUUGUGAAAUCUCCGGGCUUAACUCGGAACGGUCAACUGAUACUGUCGGACUAGAGUGCAGAAGGGGCAACUGGAAUUCCCGGUGUAGCGGUGAAAUGCGCAGAUAUCGGGAAGAACACCCGUGGCGAAGGCGGCUCUCUGGGACGGUACUGACGCUGAGACGCGAAAGCGUGGGGAGCGAACAGG
rnacentral:rRNA from 1 species